UCAUCAUGGAAGCAAGGUAUACAUGUACCCAAUCUCAUAGUGUCUCAACUACACUAAUGUGAUCAUCUCAAGGAAACAUCAACAAUGUCAUUCAUCAUAGUUUUUCUAACUAGAUGCCACUUGUCAUAGUUUUCUAAACUAGAUGCCACUCGUCAAUUUGACUCAUUAUCAACACUAGUUUCAUCAUACUAGUUCUUUAGCAACAUAAGCAUUAAUCAUCUCAUAUAGGGUUAAAUCUCAUCAUCAAACUCUAUCAUUUAAUCUCAUGCAUACUAGUUUAUAAAUCACUCAAUCAACCAUAUCUAUAGCUACUAGCAUGCAAAUUAAGCAACAUUAUAAAUCUUUAACCCUGUAAGAACAUGCACAAUAUGCAAAGAGAUCAUUAUUAAACUUAGACAUAG
rnacentral:lncRNA from 1 species